rnacentral:lncRNA from 10 species
GAAUCUCUUCGGGUGCUAAUCAAAUGGCCGCUGUAAGGGAUCUCCACAAAGCCACGAAGAAGCCAGGCCUUUCCGAGACUGUAACCGCUGUGCAGAUAGCGCCGAUCCCUGGGUGGCCGCUCUCUCGUUCUGCGCGUGCGCUCGUUCUGGGCUGGGAGCGGAUGGGUGCUGAGGCGUGUGACGUCUCUAGUAGUGUCGUAACUGGGUGUGCUGCCUUUUCCAGGUGUACUGAGGUCUUCGUGAGAUUCAGGGCUAGGACUCGUGUGGCUGUGUCAUGUUCCGAAUGAAGCUUAAAAGGUGAUCUUUGAGAACUGAAGACUUGAGACCCCUCCAUGGGCCCAGGGGCUGCCAACACUAAUAAUUUCAGAGACUUAGAAUCUGAGGAGAAUCUCCAAUCUAAGGGGAAACGGAAGAGGGUCAGGAAAGAGAAGGGGCAAGCUUAAGUGACUCAGAAUCCAAGAAGCAAGUCUCAUAGGAGAGCUGCGAUCGAGGUUACCAUACAGUAUCCAAUCGUCUCAACCUUCCCAUCCAUACUUCCAUGCUGUCUUUCCUCUGAAUGCAAGGAAAACCGGUUACACAAACGCUGACAAAAGAAUGUCAGACUUGAAUGGAAAUUCGGAGCAGUACCCAUCUGGUCCAUACAGCGAACUCCCAGUGAGCACCACGGCAAUUGCUGGAUGCUUCCUGACCUUGAACAUCAGACUCCAAGUUCUUUGGCUUUAGGACUCUUGGAUUUACACUAGCAGUUUGCCGAGGGGAUCUCUGGCCUUUGGCCACAGACUGAAGGCUGCACUGUUGGCUUCCCUACUUUUGAGGUUUUGGGUCUCGGGCUGAUCCACUACUGGCUUCCUUGCUCCUCAACUUGCAGACGGCCUAUCGUGGGACUUUACCUUGUGAUCGCAGGAAACAGCCUUCCCAUCUGCAGCAGUAGCAACAUCUCCCCCCACCACCCAUGCUGCCAUCAGCCUUUCCACCUUUGUCUGAGGAGAUUAACCCUGCACUGCCUGAGGCAACAGUGAUGGCCUCCCC